AACAUAUUAAUAUUUUUAGGACGUGUGUUUUAAGGAUGUCAAUAUAAUCACCCACCUUGAAACAGUGGUUAAUUCUUAUGAGAAAGGGUAUUGGUGGGGUUAGUGGCUGUGAGCAAAGGUACUUCAAAUAGUGUUCGUAAUGCUUUUAUUUAUUUAUUUAUUUUAUUAUUAUUAUUAUUUUGGCUGCACCUGUGGCAUGUGGAAGUUCCCAGUCCAGAGAUAUGACUUGUGCUACAGCAGUGACCCGAGCUAGAGCAGUGAUGAUGCUUGAUCCCUAACCUCUUGAGCCACCAGGGAACUCCAUGCCUUCAUUUUUUUUUUUACAAGAGCUAAGUAUUUAUGUAUGCCUUAGCUAAUUAAAAUGUUAACUUGUGUUAAUGAUCAAAAUGAUAAAAUACAAAAGUGCACACUCCUUGUACAAGAAAAAGGUGAACAACGCAAAAGUACAGGAUGGAUCCUGGACUUUUUCAAAGACCUCAUUCCAUUUAUUUAUUUAUCUAUCUAUUUUUUUGUCUCAACUUUUGUCAUUUGUCUUUUGAGGGCCACACCGCAGCACAUGGAGGUUCCCAGGCUAGGGGUCCAAUUGGAUCUGUAGCCGCCAGCCUAUGCUAGGGCCACAGUAAUGCCCGAUCCAAGCUGGGUCUGUGACAUACACCACAGCUCACAGCAAUGCUGGAUCCUUAACCCGCUGAGCAAGGCCAGGGAUCAGACCUGCAACGUUAUGGUUCCUAGUUGGAUUUGUUUCUGCUGCACCAUGACUGGAACUCCCCCAUUUAUUUAUUUUCUAGCCUGCUUUUUUUAGCCGGUCUCAUUCCCUAGGCAUAAGAGCCAGCCCACAGCUCUCCUAGCCAAUGAUUCUCAUUUGCCUCCUUCAGGGACACUCUUCUCUCUACCUUUCACUGCUAAGCUUCUGAAAAGAAUACUUUACUGCUUGUCUCCAGCUCAUGUCUCACUGACUUAUGAAAGCUCCCCAAAAUCUUUUCUCAGUAAUGUCUAGGGCAUUUUCUAAUGCUUCAGAAAUUAGUCUUUUAAGGAGUUCCCAUUGUGGCUCAGUGGUUAACGAAUCUGACUAGAAACCAUGAGGUUGUGGGUUCAGUCCCUGGACUUGCUCAGUGGGUUAAGGAUCUGGUAUUGCCAUGAGCUGUGUUGUAGGUCACAGACGUGGCUCAGAUCCCAUGUUGCUGUGGCUGUGGCACAGGCUGGCAGCUGUAGUUCCGAUUGGACCCCUAGCCUGGGAAACUCCAUAUGCCAAAAAGGCAAAAAGACAAAAAAAAAAAUAGUCUUUUAAUUAAAGUCUCCAUAGCAUCUGGUCAGUGUUUUUCACAUCUUCAUUCUUUAGAAUUCUCUCCAUCAUCUUUCUUCUGGAUUCCCUUCCAAACAUAAGAGCCUUCUUUCUCAGCUUUCUCUGUGAUUUCUUCGGACCACUUCCUAAUGGGUAUGUUCUCUCAGGUACCAUGGUCCGCUAACUGUCUGUUCACUGGCCCUGUGGUCUCAGCGGGAAACUCACCCCCUUCCCAUGAUUUGACGUUCACCUGAAUGCCACUGACUUCUGAAUCCCUACCUCCCACUUCAUCCUUCUCCUGACUCCACACUGAUUUAUCACACUGUCUGCUGGGCAAGUUUAUCGGGAUGUGCGUAGACUUCUGAAAAUCAACAUGUCCAAAUCUGAGCUCGGUAUCUUCCCUUAGAACUUUCUUGAGAAAACGUGCUUGUCAUCCCCACCCAGACCACUCUCUAGCCACUUGUGCCUUCUUGCAAAUUCAAAUAGACUCUUAUGCAAAUAGCUUCCAGGCUAAUCUUGGCGGGAUCAUGCCUUCCAAAAAGUGCAGAUCAGAAAUGUUCAAUCUGCCUCCAAUUCACAUCUCAGGGCAGGGGGCGGGGGUGGGGGGGUGGAUUUACACCCAAAAUUUAUAGGGAGGGCCAAACACUAAACAGAUGAGCAACACAGCAGGUAUUAGUCACAUAUAUCUAUAGCCACAGGGAGAAGGACAUGAUGACACCAUGCAGGGCCAAAGACAGGUUGCCCUUGGGCCCAGUGUGAACAAGCAGAGACUGGAAGGGGCAGAUUUUGGAGUCCAAGAGGGUGGAGAAUGUGGAGGUGACUCUAGGUCCCGGGAGGAGGGUGCAGUUGGCUUGUUUGAAUCAUUUCCCAGGCUGGGAGGGAAUGGGAGGCGGCUACCUGUGGAUAAGUUUUGCCUGGUUGUGGGGUGAGGAGGAGAGUUGGACUAGGGGCCCUUACCUGUGAGAGCAGAAGGGGGGGAGUUUGCAAUUAGGCCAUUUGAAGCCCUCUGAUUUUACCAGAUGGCCAGGCCAUACUUACUAUUGAAUCUUGAUUUCCGGGCUUAUAACCCAAUGGACUCUUUGAUAACUUGACAUCAAUUUAAACAUUGGUGAUGAUGGAGACUUUUAGGCAGGAGUGAAGUCCUUUGCUAGGAGGUGAAGUUGGCACUGGACUGAGAGGGAAAGGUGGUCUGCAACAACAUACAUUGUAUGAAACCUAAUUGAAGUUCACUCAGUUGAUUCCAAUGGGUCUGGACGAGGGGUGACAUCCUCUAGCUCCUGGCCAUUGACUGAUGAGGUGGGAGGCCAUUCCCACUUACAGGUGGGAUAUUCCAGAGGGCCCAGGUUCAGCUCCAUCCUCUAGCAAGGAGGCCUUAACUACCAUAUCAAGCUUGUGGGAUGUGGCUUCCAGGACUAAAGGAAUCCUGGGCAGCUGGGUAUUCAAAACUCAAGGUCUGUGAGAGGCUCUAUAUCCAGCAAAGCCAAUGCAUGGCUGGCUAGCAAUUCCUGCUCUGAUGGUAUGUGAUGCAGGGCCAAGGAGGGCAGCUUCUUGCAUCAGAAGCCCACUGACAACUUAUGGACAUCACAGGUGGUCCAGAGACCCCAGGAAGCAGGAAAGAAAGCUGCUAAAAUCUCUUCACAGAAGCAGUCUCUGAAGGCACUAAGGGGAGCCCCUGUUGAUUUCAAUUUAGACAGAUUCUAGAGCCUUUUAUUGGAGUGGGCCCACCCAAGGUGGGCUACUUUAAAAGUAACAGCAUAGGAGUUUCUCCUUGUGGCUCAGUGGGCUAUGAAGCUGACAUGGUCUCUCUGAGGAUGCUGGUUCAAUCCCUGGCUUCAUUCUGUGGGUUAAGUUUCUAGUGUUGCCACAAGCUGUGGCAUAGGUCACAGAUGCAGCUGGGAACUGGUGUUGCUGUGGCCUGCAGUGUCGUUCUGAUUCAGCCCCUAUCCUGGGAAUGUUGAUAUCCUGUAAGAGCAGCUGCAAAUGAAAUAAAAUUUAAAAAUAAAAUAAAAAUGAAAGUAACAGCAUAAAUGGGCUUAGGUAAAAUUUGUCAGUGAGGCAUAUACUUCCUCUAGAACCCAAAAAGGACUAAAACACGUUGGGUGCAUGUGUCAUUAACAGGUGUGUAAAACAAAUAUCACCAAAGGAGGAUGUCAUCAAGGUACUGUUGUACCUGUACUGCUGAUAUGGAGAAAGGAAGAUGCAGUUAGGAUCCUGUCUGCAAAGAUUGCAUGUGAUAGCAGAGCUGUUUAGGUACCUGUGGGUGACAAGGUAAAAAUGUACUGGGCCCCUUUGGGGAUGGAGGCAAACUGGAUGAGGGGAUGUUGAAGCAGGCAUGAAUGGAAUCUAUUAGCCAAAUCACUGCAAAAUGUUUACCAUAUUUAAAUUUAGUCAGAUCCCAUGUAUUUUAAGGGUAUCCAGGAUUAGUUUUAAUCAGGAAUGCUAAGACAGAAAGAUACCAAUAUGACUGCCUGGAGAAAAAAGCUUUUUUACACCCCCAGAUCCUGAGAAACAAGAGGCAGAGCACACCAGGGAGGGCCACAUGGGGAAGCACCAGGGACUCAGGAGGCAGAGGGAGGAGUAAGGGGCAGGGGUGGGCAAGAGGCUUUCUUGUGGUUUCCAUGGGAAGAAAUGGGUGAGGUUGUCUAAGCAGGCUUAGGAUGGGCUAGUUUGAAUAUUUCAGUGGGCUCUGGGACAUAGUGGUGUCCCUAGCUGAUUGGUGCCCAGCUCUGGGGUGAUUGCUUAUGGCAGAGCGAUGGCGGCCCGGAUUGUAAGAGCCCCGUAGAGGAGGUAGUUGGGGAUGUGAGCUCUGGAUUUGUACACUCACAGGUGGAUUAUUUACAACCUUUAGGAAUUAGCUGACCCUGGCAGGUAUAGUUCCUCUAAGAGGAGCAAGGACUCUGGUGUCAAAGCAUUAAAUACAGAAAAGAGAAACUAUAGUUAUUACAGUAGGUAAAAUCAUAAAUUGAUACCAGGGAUUAAGUCCAUGAAGGUUUGCCAAAAGUUGCACUUUGGUAGAUGUUAAAAUUAGUCCAGAACCCACGUUACAGAAGCCCCAAAGCCAUCAUCAGCUCCCAUUAUCUUUUUGCCAUAUCAUUUGUUUUCAUAAAUUUUGGAUUGCCAAUUGGGUUAAAUUGUGAGAUUUUGUUUAAUGAAAAUCGCUGUUCCCUCUGCCUGUAUGUAGAUUUCUUUUUCCUUUUCAUUUUCAUUCAUUUUCAGGGGUAGGUUGUUAUCUGAGAUCCUUAGGGGUGGGAGCUGUCUUUUUACCUUGCUCACAUUUAUCAGUAUUUUUUCCUACAGAGUCACAGAUCAGCAUGAUCAAGAUUUGGGUCUCUGUCACAGCAAUGGUUUUAUGGUUUAGAGACCCAAGACUUAAGUCAGGUUUGAAUUAACACCUCCACUGUGACACAGGGUGUCAUGUAUGUUGGUCCCCACAACCCUGAUGAUCAGGAUUUUGACCACAGGGCAGCAGGGACCCAGUGGAAGAGCACAGGGCACAGAGCCCCAAAGUUGAUGGAUCCAAACCAUCUUCUGCUACAGCCCUACCUCUUCCCUGAUGUAGGCUGCUUCUCCCACCCCCUUCUCUCUGUACUCAUUCCCUCAGGACAUUUUUUUUUUUUGGUCUCUUUUCUAGGGCCGCACCCAUGGCAUAUGGAGGUUCCCAGACUAGG
rnacentral:lncRNA from 1 species